GUCUUUUUGAUAAUAAUUUAAAGUCUAAUCUGCCCACUGAUAAUUAUUAAAGGGCUGCAGUAUAAUGACUGUACAAAGGUAGCAUAAUCAAUAGUUUUUUAAUUGGAAACUUGUAUGAAAGAUUUGAUGAAAUAUAGACUGUCUCUUAAUUAUUUAUAAAAAUUUAUUUUUUAGUAAAAAAGCUAAAAUAAUUUUAAAAGACGAGAAGACCCUAUAGAGUUUUAUAUUUAAUUUUAUUUUAAAAUUAUAUUAAAAUUUUUAUUAAAAUAGGAUAAAGUAUUUUAUUGGGGUGAUAGAAAAAUUAAAUUAACUUUUUUUUAAAAAUAAACAUAAAUAGGUGAAUAAAUGAUCCAUUAAUAAUGAUUAUAAGAAAAAAUUACCUUAGGGAUAACAGCGUAAUAUUUUUUUUUAGUCCAAAUAAAAAAAAAAGAUUGCGACCUCGAUGUUGGAUUAAGAUAAAAUUUAAAUGCAAAAGUUUAAAAUUUUGAUCUGUUCGAUCAUUAAAAUCUU
rnacentral:rRNA from 1 species